UAUAUUCUUAACACAUAUUUGGCUAUUUUUUUAUAUAUAUGAGCUUUGCUCUGGGAAAUAGGUGUUUAAUGCAUGUGCCUAAUUUGUUGUCACAUAUUAGCCUGUGAAGUGUUCACAGGCUAAUCAAGGACAACACUUUGCACUGUUGCUUAUUUUUUAUGCCCCCCUUAGAAGAAGAGGGGGUAUAUUGCUUUGCUCAUGUCGGUUGGUCGGUCCGUCCACCAGGUGGUUGUCAGACGAUAACUCAAGAACCCUUGGGCCUAGGAUCAUGAAACUUCAUAGGUACAUUGAUCAUGACUCCCAGAUGGCCCCUAUUGAUUUUGAGGUCAAAGGUCAAGGUCACGGUGAUCCGAAAUAGUAAAAUGGUUUCCGGAUGAUAACUCAAGAACGCUUAGGCCUAGGAUCAUGAAACUUGAUAGGUAGAUUGAUCAUGACUCGCAGAUGACCCCUAUUGAUUUUCAGGUCACUAGGUCAAAGGUCAAGGUCACAGUGACCCGAAAUAGUAAAAUGGUUUCCGGAUGAUAACUCAAGAACACUUAGGCCUAGGAUCAUGAAACUUGAUAGGUAGAUUGAUCAGGACUCGCAGAUGACCCCUAUUGAUUUUCAGGUCACUAGGUCAAAGGUCAAGGUCACGGUGACCCGAAAUAGUAAAAUGGUGUCCGGAUGAUAACUCAAGAAUGCUUAUGGCUAGGAUCAUGAAACUUCAUAGGUACAUUGAUCAUGACUGGCAGAUGACCCCUAUUGAUUUUCAGGUCACUAGGUCAAAGGUCAAGGUCACAGUGACAAAAAAAAUAUUCACACAAUGGCUCUCACUACAACGGAGAGCCCAUAUGGGGGGCAUGCAUGUUUUACAAACAGCCCUUGUU